rnacentral:rRNA from 1 species
ACGAACGCUGGCGGCAGGCCUAACACAUGCAAGUCGAUCGCCGUAGCAAUACGGAGUGGCAGACGGGUGAGUAACACGUGGGAACGUACCCUUUGGUUCGGAACAACUCCGGGAAACUGGAGUUAAUACCGGAUAAGCCCUAUGGGGGAAAGAUUUAUCGCCGAAGGAUCGGCCCGCGUCUGAUUAGCUUGUUGGUAGGGUAACGGCCUGCCAAGGCGACGAUCAGUAGCUGGUCUGAGAGGAUGAUCAGCCACACUGGGACUGAGACACGGCCCAGACUCCUACGGGAGGCAGCAGUGGGGAAUAUUGGACAAUGGGCGCAAGCCUGAUCCAGCAAUGCCGCGUGAAUGAUGAAGGCCUUAGGGUUGUAAAGUUCUUUCGCUCGUGACGAUGAUGACGGUAACGAGAGAAGAAGCCCCGGCUAACUUCGU